rnacentral:rRNA from 1 species
GCGGCCGCUCCGGUUGAUCCCGGCAGAGGCCACUGCUAUCGGAGUUCGAUUAAGCCAUGCGAGUCGAGGGGUGCAAGACCUCGGCAUACUGCUCAGUAACACGUGGACAACCUAACCUAUGGAGGGGGAUAACCCCGGGAAACUGGGGAUAAUACCCCAUAGACUAUGGAUGCUGGAAUGCUCUGUAGUUGAAAGGUCCGCCGCCAUAGGAUGGGUCUGCGGCCGAUUAGGUUGUUGUUGGGGUAACGGCCCAACAAGCCCUGUAAUCGGUACCGGGUUGUGGGAGCAAGAGCCCGGAGAUGGAUUCUGAGACACGAAUCCAGGCCCUACGGGGCGCAGCAGGCGCGAAAACUUUACAAUGCGGGGAACCGUGAUAAGGGAACUCCGAGUGCCCGUAAAAUCGGGCUGUCCAUCUGUUUAAACAACAGGUGAAGAAAGGGCCGGGCAAGACCGGCGCCAGCCGCCGCGGUAAUACCGGCGGCUCGAGUGGUGGCCACUAUUACUGGGCUUAAAGCGUUCGUAGCUGGUUUGUUAAGUCUCUGGGGAAAUCUGCCGGCUCAACCGGCAGGCGUUCCAGGGAUACUGGCAGACUAGGGACCGGGAGAGGUGAGGGGUACUCCAGGGGUAGGAGUGAAAUCCUGUAAUCCUUGGGGGACCACCUGUGGCGAAGGCGCCUCACCGGAACGGCUCCGACAGUGAGGGACGAAAGCUGGGGGGAGCAAACCGGAUUAGAUACCCGGGUAGUCCCAGCUGUAAAUGAUGCGCGUUAGGUGUAUCGGCGACCACGAGUCACCGAGGUGCCGAAGAGAAAUCGUGAAACGUGCCGCCUGGGAAGUACGGUCGCAAGGCUGAAACUUAAAGGAAUUGGCGGGGGUGCACCACAACAGGUGGAGCCUGCGGUUUAAUCGGACUCAACGCCGGAAACCUCACCGGAUAAGACAGCUGGAUGAUAGUCGGGCUGAAGACUCUACUUGACUAGCUGAGAGGAGGUGCAUGGCCGUCGUUAGUUCGUACUGUGAAGCAUCCUGUUAAGUCAGGCAACGAGCGAGACCC